rnacentral:rRNA from 1 species
ACGGGUGAGUAACACGUGGGAACGUGCCCUUCGGUUCGGAAUAACUCAGGGAAACUUGAGCUAAUACCGGAUAUGCCCUUAUGGGGAAAGGUUUACUGCCGAAGGAUCGGCCCGCGUCUGAUUAGCUUGUUGGUGGGGUAACGGCCUACCAAGGCGACGAUCAGUAGCUGGUCUGAGAGGAUGAUCAGCCACACUGGGACUGAGACACGGCCCAGACUCCUACGGGAGGCAGCAGUGGGGAAUAUUGGACAAUGGGCGCAAGCCUGAUCCAGCCAUGCCGCGUGAGUGAUGAAGGCCUUAGGGUUGUAAAGCUCUUUUGUCCGGGACGAUAAUGACGGUACCGGAAGAAUAAGCCCCGGCUAACUUCGUGCCAGCAGCCGCGGUAAUACGAAGGGGGCUAGCGUUGCUCGGAAUCACUGGGCGUAAAGGGCGCGUAGGCGGCCGAUUAAGUCGGGGGUGAAAGCCUGUGGCUCAACCACAGAAUUGCCUUCGAUACUGGUUGGCUUGAGACCGGAAGAGGACAGCGGAACUGCGAGUGUAGAGGUGAAAUUCGUAGA